GAAAUUUCUAGUCUGGUGAAAACAAAAAACAAACAAAAAAAAAUGCUAACCUAUGAGAAGGAUCAUGGUUGUGCGGGUCUUUGCUGGUGCAAAUGACUGAGUAUCUAGAUGGCAUCAGCAUCUAGGAGGUUGGGAGAAGGGCACAGGGGAUGUCAUGCCAGGUUAUCAGGUCUAAGCAAGACCCUGCUUUCCCCUCCCCACAACCAACCUGUGAUGAUAAAGGGAGGCGUGCUGGUUUUUCCAAGCCAAGACGCUUGGUCUUCUUCAUUCCUGCCUCUGCAUCCAUUGUUCCACCCCUAUUCCUCACUUCCCUCCCAGAGACAUUUAUGCUUCAUUCUGCAUCUUUGCCAGCUCAUCUGCAUGUGUGGACUGGUGAGGCUAGAAAUGAAAGCACUUUAGAAGAGCCCCAAGUGGAGACAGAGAGGCUGGUUGUUACCCUGAGCUCAGCAGGUAACUCCCUGGUCCUUAAGACCUGAUAGGAUUGUCACAGACCAGCAAAUCCAUGGCCUAUGGCAAUACCUCCCCCGCAGCCCUCUCUUGUCUAUGAUUUCCUGGGGGCUUGUUCUGUCCUCGCUCACCUCCUGGGGGCUCCUCUUCCCUGGUGUGUAGGUUCUGAUCUGUCCUGAAUCAGCUUCUCUUUGGAAUGCUCUUGGAAGCCACACUCCCAGACACACUGACCAGUGUGGUAGUUUUACCAACCCUACAAAGGGGGUGGAAUGGGGUCCUGCAUCCAAGUGACACAAACAACCUCCAUCAGAACUGGAAGCCCACUGUUGUGAAUAUGCUUUGGGCACCCUCCACCCCUGUGAUGUCAUUGGCUUUCCUAGUUCCUCCCAGUGUCUCUCCCUUUCUUCCAGCUCCUCCAACUCCCUUUCAGAAGCACAAAUGAUAGGUUCUACCCACAACCCUAGCACACCUGUCCAAGCUUACUUAUCAGGUAUUCUUCAGUGGGCAGCCUCCUCCCUCAGAAGAAUUCUGGUACCACCUAUCAUAAAGAUUUUUUUCACCCUAUUAUACAUUAUUAUGAAAUGUAUGGAAAGCUGGGGGUGCUUUAUAAGUAAGACGACAGUACUGGAUGGUGAUCCGCAGACAGGACAUACUUUCCACCUCACAUACUCUGCAUAGUGUGAAUGUAUGCUGAGGGUGACAGGUAGGUCUGGGGAAAGACUAUGAUCUUGGACUUUCCUGGCAGCCUUGUUCCCAAUCCCAAUGACCUCUUCCAAUGCCAGCUGUCCCUUAUGCCAGCUGUCCCUUGGAAUCCAGGGGGGAGGGUAAGGACUGGCCUUACCGACAUAUUCUGGGUGGGAUGCACAGGUAAGACGAAGGGGUUUUGCUAGUGCAAGUUGUUAGGAAAAGACAGUUGCAAAAUUGAUCAGGUGGCUUUAUCAAUGAACUGGGAAGGUCUAAAAGAAGACUCACAGUUCUUAGUCUCCCCUAAGACGCUUUCCCUUUCUUUUGUUAGGGGGAAAAGGAGGGUCUGCUUUCACACUGACCAGCUGAAUUCUACCCAGGCUAGCUGGGGCCUGGUGAACAGCUAAAUAGAAAAUUAGAGUAAGUUACUUAAAUGUUAGCCACUGAUAUGAGUACAUUGGUUAGUGCCAGGACAAAGCACUUUAAAAAAAAAUUUCCAUUUUCAACCACCAAAGUGUACAUGCCCAUUAUAUAAUAUUCUUGUAGUUCAGAAAGACAUAAAAGGUUAAAGACCCCACUUCUCUCCUUUGUCUCUCUCUACAGUCACUUUUUAGAGGUACCACUUUUGUAGCUUGGUAUAAAUCCUUCUAAGCCUCUUUCUACGAAUAUAUUCUGUUACAUUUUUUUUAAUCAAGCCAAAAUGAAGUCACACAUGUUUAUCAGCAGGUUGUCCUUGGUUCCACCCACACUGUAAUAUAUCGUGAACAUCUUUUGGGUUCAGUGGAUUAUUAUUUUUAAUAGCUAUAGAGUGUCACCAUGACUAUCCUAAUGUAGUAAAUCUCCUACAGAUAAUUAUUUUUCCCCCAUUUUUUUCCUUUACAAACAAUGCUAUAGUAACAGUUCUAGGCCUGUGUCUCUGUGCACAAGCAUGGUCGUUGCAGCAGAAUGGAAUCCUAG
rnacentral:lncRNA from 1 species